AGGCGGGUGGGAACACGUGUGCAACGCCUUUAUCAGGGGAUAGCCUUGAAAGGAAGAUUAUACCCCAUAUAUUGAGGCAUCACUUGAUAUUGAAAACUACGGGAUAGAGAUGGGCACGCGCAAGAUUAGAUAGUUGGUAGGGUAACGGCCUACCAAGUCAAUGAUCUUUAGGGGGCCUGAGAGGGUGAUCCCCCACACUGGUACUGAGACACGGACCAGACUCUACGGGAGGCAGCAGUGAGGAAUAUUGGACAAUGGGUGAGAGCCUGAUCCAGCCAUCCCGCGUGAAGGACGACGGCCCUAUGGGUUGUAAACUUCUUUUGUAUAGGGAUAAACCUUUCCUCGUGAGGAAAGCUGAAGGUACUAUACGAAUAAGCACCGGCUAACUCCGUGCCAGCAGCCGCGGUAUACGGAGGGUGCAAGCGUUAUCCGGAUUUAUUGGGUUUAAAGGGUCCGUAGGCGGAUCUGUAAGUCAGUGGUGAAAUCUCAUAGUCACUAUGAAAC
rnacentral:rRNA from 1 species